rnacentral:snRNA from 1 species
GUCCCCUCACGGGUGACAUACGAAAACAUUGGAACGAUGCAGAGAAGAUUAGCAUGGCCCCUGCACAAGGAUGACACGCUGUUUCAGAGUGGAAAGACCUACGGGU